GCCUCUCCAGGCAUGUGGAACUGUACACCAUCAGAGAAGGAAUGCAGAUUUUCACCUAUCCACAAAGCUUGGCAAGCUCUUUACUGGUAGGGGAUAAGGCCUUACUAGACUAAGUACAUGAAAUCAUUAAGUAAAACAAAAUGUUUCAUUAAAAAUGUCAAGUGGGCAGCUUAAGGUCAAGUGAGACAGAUUUGGCCUGAAGGCUUUAUGUUGUUGUGUACACUUACAGAAAAGAAUCCAUAAAAAGAGC
rnacentral:lncRNA from 13 species